UAGCCAUGAUGUAGACACGAAUUUAUAAUAUCCUUGAAUCUCUCCCAACUUUGGAAGAAGGUCUCUUCCUUUUUUUGGGCAAAAUUCAUGAUCACCCUCCUUAAACUA